rnacentral:siRNA from 1 species
UUUUAAACCGGUGACAGUAGCUGC